AGGCGUGGUGCUGCACACCUGGAAUCCCAGCUACUCGGGAGGCUGAGGUGGGAGGAUCGCCUGAGCCCAGGAGGUCUGUGCUGUAGUGCACUAUGCUGAUCAGUGUCCGCACUAAGUUUGGCAUCAAUAUAGUGACCUUCAGGAGCCGGGGACCACCAAGUCGCCUAAGGAGGGAUAAACCCACCCAGGUAAGAAACAGAGCAGGUCAAAACUCCCGUGCUGAUCAGUAGUGGGAUCGCACCUGUGAAUAGCCACUACACUCCAGCCUGGGAAACAAAGCGAGACCCCGUCUCC
rnacentral:SRP_RNA from 1 species